rnacentral:lncRNA from 13 species
GAGACACUUUGGAGAGGAGGACCAAGCCAUGCGUGCCUGUGAACUUUUGAGAAGCAAGGCACCCUGUUCCUGCUGGGCUCGGCGCCCACGGUGUGCUAAACCAUGUGAAGAGUCUGAAGCUGCAGAUGGAGAAGCGGGGAGGACCCGGUCCCCACCUGCCACACCCACACAGGGCCAUUUCAGCACUUUCUCUGCAGCCGCUUCCUGCAGGGUGCACAGCUUUGGGACGAGCUUCGGGCGCUGAGCCUCCUGGCUGCGCAGGGCCUGUGGGCGCAGAUGUCCGUAUUUCAUGGUGAGGACCUGGAGAGGUUCGGGCGCAGGAGUCUGACCUCCGCAGGUUCCUGGAUAGAGGCAUCCUACGCCAGGACAGAGCCGCCAGAGGUCAGCGCAGCAAGGCGGGGUCCUCCCCUGCAUCUGCAGCGAGGCAGGCGGACGGGAAGCUGAGGACCUGCGAUCUCGUGAGACACCGGUGCCCUCCCCUCCAGGGAGCAGAGGCAGCUCUGGAAGUCAGUUUAAUGCGGACACCGCGACCGGCGGGGGCAGAACACUUCUCCCAGCGUCCUGGGCUCCGCAAGCACAAUUUUAAAACCAGCUGCGAAAUCCGAUCCUUCCGCAGUGGAGCGCGGCCGCCGCUCCGAGCGCCAUCUCAGACUCCACCGGCUUCUGUGCCGCGAGUCACCCCGGGCCGCGCCUUCCUCCUCCGGCCAGACCGAGCCCGGCCCUGGCGGGAAACUCACAGGCCCCGGGCAGCCUGGGCCGCGCUGCGGUGGAGAAGUGGGCCCGCCGCGCACGUGGGGUGGCCAGAGGCCACUGCUUCCCAGACCCAUGAACAAAGCUGGAGCUGCGGCUGCGGAGUUGGCCCUGGGAUCUGCUUCAACUCUUGGCUCCAGGGCCUCAGCCGCCUCCCUGCGGUCAGCUGGCUAUUCCCGGCCCUGGGCACCAUCUUCCCUGCCUGUCACCACUCCUGUCUGCCCAAUUAGCUCUGUCGCUACUCCAGGCUGGAGUGCAGUGGCUCAAUCUCAGCUCACUGCAACCUCCGCCUCCCGGGUUCAAACGAUCUUCCCGGCUCAGCCUCCAGAGUAACUGGGACCACAGGAGUCCGCCACGACGCCGGCUAAUGUUUUUCUUCCCGUAAGACCGGGGUCUCCCUAUGUUGCCCAGGCAGGUCUUGAACUCCUGCGCCCAAGUGAUCCUCCCGACUCCGUCACCCAAAGUGUUGGGAUUACAGGCUUGAGCCACCGCUUCCUUCCUUCUCUUUGAAGAUGACAGAUGAGGGGCAUCUCGCAUUUAGGGUACCCCAGAACACUAGAUGCCCCUCAUCUGUCAUCUCUAAAGAGGAGGAAGUGGAGUCCCGGGCUCGGUCACUCCGGCACGGUGACUCCGGGGAUCAACUGAUUUUUGACCAAGGUGCCAAGAACACACAAUGGGGAAAGGACAAUAUCUUCGAUAAAUAGUGUGGGGACAACUAGCCAUCCACGUGAAGGAG